GGGGGAAUUUUGGACAAUGGGGGCAACCCUGAUCCAGCAAUGCCGCGUGUGUGAAGAAGGCCUUCGGGUUGUAAAGCACUUUUGUCCGGAAAGAAAUCGCGCUGGUUAAUACCUGGCGUGGAUGACGGUACCGGAAGAAUAAGUACCGGCUAACUACGUGCCAGCAGCCGCGGUAAUACGUAGGGUGCGAGCGUUAAUCGGAAUUACUGGGCGUAAAGCGUGCGCAGGCGGUUUUGUAAGACAGGCGUGAAAUCCCCGGGCUUAACCUGGGAAUUGCGCUUGUGACUGCAAGGCUAGAGUGCGUCAGAGGGGGGUAGAAUUCCACGUGUAGCAGUGAAAUGCGUAGAGAUGUGGAGGAAUACCGAUGGCGAAGGCGGCCCCCUGGGACGUGACUGACGCUCAUGCACGAAAGCGUGGGGAGCAAACAGGAUUAGAUACCCUGGUAGUCCACGCCCUAAACGAUGUCAACUAGUUGUUGGGGAUUCAUUUUCUCAGUAACGUAGCUAACGCGUGAAGUUGACCGCCUGGGGAGUACGGUCGCAAGAUU
rnacentral:rRNA from 1 species